UUACGGCCAUAUCACUUUCAAACACCGGUUGCCGUUAGAUCACCGAAGUUAAGCAACGUCGAAUCUGGUCAGUACCUAGAUGGGUGACCGCUUGGGAAUACCAGGUGCUGUA